rnacentral:lncRNA from 1 species
GUCCACACCAGAAACCACUCAGGCAGGAUCUGGAAAGCAUACAAACCUCAUCAAAUAAAACGGAGGAACAAGUCCACUCUGGCUUCUGAGAACUCCAGGAACUCCUGGAAGAAGGUGCUUCAUCUCUGCAGUGCUUGGAACCCUGGCUGACAAGGAAAACGAGAAUGCUGAGUGUAACAAUGACCCCAGGAAUUCAAGCCAAGGAGCCCAAGAGGGGCCAGAUGGCGCCUUCAUUCCUGGUGCCAGAACUGUGGCGUUUCUCUGAAUCAAGUGGCUUUCAUUUUCAUGGUCUCCAGAUGGCUGCUGCAUCCCCAGGUGUCAUGGAGGAGGGAGUGAGGCUGAAAGGCAGAGAAUCUAAAAUAUUCCUGGAAAUGGAGAGUCCUGACAUGAUGGCCCCAUGAUGAAAAGAACCCAGGUUCCUGAGUCACGACGUGGACAUGAGGCACCAAGGAGAAAACACGUGAACCUUAAUAAGUUUGGGGUGAGAGAGAAAUAAACCUUAAGUAUGUUAAGCUUCUGUCAUUUCAAGGUAAUACAGUGUGGAAGGCAGAAAAAUGACCCACUCUCCCCUGAUAUCCAUUAAAGAUGUCCAAA